rfam:Dipodomys ordii contig_95867, whole genome shotgun sequence.
GGGAAAGUGGCUCAGUGGUAGAGUGCUUGUCUUGCAUGCAUGAGGCCCUGGGUUUGAUUCCUCAGCACCA